ACGAUCAGUAGCCGACCUGAGAGGGUGAUCGGCCACAUUGGAACUGAGACACGGUCCAAACUCCUACGGGAGGCAGCAGUGGGGAAUAUUGCACAAUGGGCGAAAGCCUGAUGCAGCAACGCCGCGUGAGUGAUGAAGGCCUUCGGGUCGUAAAACUCUGUCCUCAAGGAAGAUAAUGACGGUACUUGAGGAGGAAGCCCCGGCUAACUACGUGCCAGCAG
rnacentral:rRNA from 1 species